UGGGGAAUAUUGGACAAUGGGCGAAAGCCUGAUCCAGCCAUGCCGCGUGUGUGAAGAAGGUCUUCGGAUUGUAAAGCACUUUAUGUUGGGAGGAAGGGCAGUAAGCGAAUACCUUGCUGUUUUGACGUUACCGACAGAAUAAGCACCGGCUAACUCUGUGCCAGCAGCCGCGGUAAUACAGAGGGUGCAAGCGUUAAUCGGAAUUACUGGGCGUAAAGCGCGCGUAGGUGGUUCGUUAAGUUGAAUGUGAAAGCCCCGGGCUCAACCUGGGAACUGCAUCCAAAACUGGCGAGCUAGAGUAGGGCAGAGGGUGGUGGAAUUUCCUGUGUAGCGGUGAAAUGCGUAGAUAUAGGAAGGAACACCAGUGGCGAAGGCGACCACCUGGGCUCAUACUGACACUGAGGUGCGAAAGCGUGGGGAGCAAACAGG
rnacentral:rRNA from 1 species